GCGCGCGGGCGUGGGGGCCGUGGCUCAGCCCCCCUUCCUCUCGCUCCCUCCGCCUCCCUGGGCGCCCCCUCGCCCCCUUCCUCUCGCGUCCCCGGGUUCUCGCCCCUUCUUUCCUGAUGCCUGCCUGAUUUUCUGGAAAGACCGACACCCCCAGUCGCCCCCACCGCGGCUCCCGGUUCCUUCCCCUGCAGAGCAGACGGGGGCUGGAGUAGGGGCCAACAUGGGUGACAUGGGUGGACCGGCAGGGCGGUCCCUGGGGUGCCCUUUAACUCUUUCUGUGCCACAUCCCCGGUCUCUGGCCAGUCCUGUCGCGCUAAGGCCCCUCCAGCAGCGCUGACCCUGGUCCCCCACCUGCUGGUCCUGCGGCCGCGGGGCGCUCUCUCCUCCGUCCCACCCGCUCCUUCCACACCACCUCCUUUCCUGGGAGUGGAGAAGCCCCAGCCAGAACCCCUGCCUUCCCCAAGAGGCACGCUCAGAGGGACAUUCUCCCCUUCCUCACUCCCCCUAGAGCCACAUCACACCUGGCUUUGGGGCCCUAGAACCUCAGCCCGCGCCCCUCCCCUUCCACCCCCAGCCAUCCCUGCUCUGUGCCCAGUGAUCUUGGGGUCACCACAACCCCAUGGCGCCUUGAGGCCUCACCUUUCCUGGCCUCUCAGCAUCCUGGGACACUGAUGGUCAUGCCUUCCUUCUAGAAAGUUCUCUCCGAGGCUGUGGCUUCCAGGAUGAGCACUCUCCUCCUCCCACUUCCUCCCCUUCUCCUUCCCCCUCCUCCCUUCUCCCUGGAGAGGUCUUCCUCCAAGUCCCAGUCUUCUUCCCCACCCAGAGCCCCUCCCGCUGACACUUGUCUGCAGUGCCUGUCUCCGCUCCCGCUAGGAAGCCUCCCCUCCGGCAUCUCCAAUCCAUCUCUGGGUCCUGCUCCACCUGCAUUUCCCUAGACCUGUCCUGGCCACCCUCACCCUGGGACACCUCCUGCCCGUGGAGAGCUCCUCUGAUAGGUGCCGUCCUUGGUCUUGGGGGUCCUUUCUCCCUAAUUCUACUUCUGUUUUGGGGGCGUGGGAACCCAGGGUCUUAACCCCAGCCAUUCCCCCUCCCAGGGGCCACUUCCCUCUGAAGCUUAGCCCAGCUCUGUGACCCCCACAGGCCUGCCCCCACCUGGUCCUCACUCCCCUGCAUAGCCACACUGUGGGGGCUCCAUGCUUCCCAGCCCAUAGGAAGCCCUGUUCCCAGAGGGGGCCAUUCUGUUUUAGUUGGAGCAGUGGCCAGAGGCAAAGGUCAGAAGGCAAAGGUCAUAAAAGUUUGUCUCUACCUGCCAGCAUCUGCUCCUGCUACUGCAUCUUCUCCCCUCUCCACCCAAACCCUCCCUCAGCUCCUGCCCCCACCUCUCCAGAGGCACAGACAACAGGGUUCUGAUCUUGGGUCAUGGUGCUCCCCCUGCCAGCCUCAGUCCGAGACCUCUGUGAAUGGCGGUGAUGGCUAAUGGGAUGAGGGGGACCACCUCCUGGUGGCUGCAGGGACUGGGGUGAGGGUGCUGUAGGCUCUGCCUAAGUCAAGUGCCAUGGGGCUGAAGAGACGGCGCACCGGCCCUGGAGAAGAGUCCUCCCUGCCCUCCUGUGUCUGGCCUUGUUUCCUGGAGGACAGGUCCCCACGGGGCAGAGGCCCAGCAGUCCCAGGUUCCUUAGCCUCUGCCACCUCCAGGCCGUGUCUGCUAACCCUGUCUGCCGUCAGCAAGCUUCGUUUUACCUGGGUAGGUUCCUUAGCCUCUGCCACCUCCAGGCCGUGUCUGCUAACCCUGUCUGCCGUCAGCAAGCUUCAUUUUACCUGGGUAGGGUUCUCAGCCUCCGCCACCCCCAGGCGAUGUCUGCUAACCCUGCCUGCCCUCAGCAAGCUUCCUGUUUCCUGGGUUUAGCCAGAAUCCUCCAGACAGGUGUUUCGUGCCAGUAAUUUUCCACCCACUGACCCCGCCCUGCUCCUCAGAUCUAAAUCCCCACUUGCCUGUGCCACAUUGAGAGUUGAGCCCAGGUCUAUACUAAAAUCUUUUUUCCCCUAUUACAAUAGUCCCGAACAAAAUAUGUGUUUCAACUGCUAUCCAGUUCUGGUUUCCCUUGACAUUGACGGCACCUGCAGAACUUAAUUUCGGUGUCCAGCAAGACUUAUGGAGCCCAUACUGCCAGCGAGACUCAGAAGCCCCACCCUGGAGUUCUGCAAGGGGCUGAUGAGGAGGAGGGAUGAAAGCGACAGCCGGAAGCCAAGGCGGAGGGACCAGGGGUGGGAGGGGAGGCUGCAUCUGGGCCCAGAAAAACGUGGAAAUGCAGGAAGGGAAACAGGAGGGUGGUGGGGCUGCCCCUCGGAGAGACCUUCUGUGAGCAUUAAAGGGCAUUUUUUUUCCAGGUGUCUUUACUGUGCAUUAAUACAUUUUUACUUUGAUAU
rnacentral:lncRNA from 1 species